rnacentral:rRNA from 1 species
UACUAAUGUGUAUGGUGGAUGCCUUGACAUUAAAAAGCGAUGAAGGACGUAGCUGGCUGCGAUAAGCCUCGGGGAGUUGUUAAGCGAACUUUGAUCCGGGGAUUUCCGAAUGGGACAACCCAACCCGUGCCUCACUAUGUUCGGCACGGAAUAUCUAAUUUCUAAUAUCUAAUUUCUAAUAAAUGUCUAAUGUCCAAAUAUCCAAUGUCUAAAAAUUUGUCAUUGGUUAUUCAGGAAUUAGGAUUUGAUUAGUAAUUAGAAAUUCUUAAUUGGUAAUUCCGUAACGAACUGUAGUGAGUUACGGGUUAGCGCUGUUUGAAUACAUAGGACAGCGCGGCGCACCCUGGGAACUGAAACAUCUUAGUACCAGGAGGAAAAGAAAUCAAUGAGAUUCCGUCAGUAGUGGCGAGCGAAAGCGGAAGAGCCUAAACCAUUCCUCACUAGCGUUCAGAAUGAAAUUUUAAAGCCUAAAUUUCAAAUUUUAAAUCAAAUCCAAAUGCCUGAAUUUUAAAAAUUUGGUCAUUGGAAAUUUAAAAAUUCAUUGAAAAUUGAAAAUUUAAAAUUGAAAAUUUCCGAGCGGUAGCGAGGAGUGGUGUUGCGGGGCAAUCUUACUCGUUUAAUCGGGGUAAGGACUAUUUUAUUAGCGGAACGUUUCUGGAAAGAGCGAUCAAAGAGGGUGAUAAUCCCGUACGCGAAAAUGAAAUAACUUUAUGUGAUUGUUCCCAAGUAGGGCGGAACCGGAGAAAUUCCGUCUGAAUCUGGGGCCACUAUAGCUCCAAGGCUAAAUAUUUUUAAUGAUCGAUAGCGAACGAGUACCGUGAGGGAAAGGUGAAAAGUAUCCCGAUGAGGGAGAUGAAAUAGUAUCUGAAACCAUAUACUAACGAAGAGUUGGAGCCGUUCGUGUCUCACUGCGUGAGACACUCACGAGUAAAAAGUUCUUAAAGUCCGUAAAGUUCAUAAAGUAAUUUCUUUAUAAACUUUUAACUUUUUAACUUUAUAAACUCGCGAAGUGUCGCGCGAAGCGAGACGCGAGCGGUGACAGCGUGCUUUUUGUAGAACGAGCCAACGAGUUAGUUCUGUGUUGUUGACUAAGCCACUUUGUGGCGGAGUCGUAGUGAAAGCGAGCCUGAAAGGGCGAACUUAAAUAGCACGGACUAGACCCGAAGCCAGGUGAGCUAUUUAUGAGCAGGGUGAAUCCCAAGUAACAUUGGGAGGAGGCCCGCACCCACGAGCCGUGCAAUACUCGGGGAUGACUUGUGAAUAGAGGAGAAAUUCC